AGGACGUCUACAUUAGAUACCCGCGUAGUCCCAGCCGUAAACUAUGCGCGUUAGGUGUAUCGGUGACCACGAGUCACCGAGGUGCCGAAGGGAAACCGUGAAACGUGCCGCCUGGGAAGUACGGUCGCAAGGCUGAAACUUAAAGGAAUUGGCGGGGAGCACCACAACGGGUGGAGCCUGCGGUUUAAUUGGACUCAACGCCGGGAAGCUCACCGGAUAAGACAGCGGAAUGAUUGCCGGGCUGAAGACUCUGCAUGACUAGCUG
rnacentral:rRNA from 1 species